rnacentral:lncRNA from 1 species
GAAUCUAUCUGCUUGGGAGGCAAGCAUUCCAUUAAUGAUGCGGAUAGUUAGCCUCUCAGUUCAGAAAAGAGAUCUCUGGACAGAGUGGUCCCAAGGAGGAGGACAGGAAUAAUCACAGCAAAACUGCCUUGCAGAAGGAGAAAACAGAAAAGACAGGGUCUCACUCUGUGGCCCAGGCUGGAAUACAGUGGCAUCAUCACAGCUCACUGCAGCCUCAACUCCCAGGCUCAAGCAAUCCUCCCGCCUCAGCCUGCGAGUAGCUGGGACUACAGUAAAUUUCUUAGGUGUCAGAUUUUCCCUCAGAAUAGUGCAACUGGAAGAAGGGAAAUGUUGGCAGUGGC